rnacentral:rRNA from 1 species
UCGCUGAACUUAAGCAUAUCAAUAAGCGGAGGAAAAGAAACUAACAAGGAUUCCCCUAGUAACGGCGAGUGAAGCGGGAAGAGCUCAAAUUUAAAAUCUGGCGUCUCUGGCGUCCGAGUUGUAAUCUGUAGAGGCGUUAUCCGCGACGGACCUCGUACAAGUCCUUUGGGAUGAGGCGUCAUAGAGGGUGAGAAUCCCGUCCGUGACGAGGACUACCGUUGCUUUGCGUUGCGCCCUCGAAGAGUCGAGUUGUUUGGGAAUGCAGCUCAAAAUGGGAGGUAAAUUCCUUCUAAAGCUAAAUACAGGCGAGAGACCGAUAGCGAACAAGUACCGUGAGGGAAAGAUGAAAAGAACUUUGGAAAGAGAGUUAAACAGUACGUGAAAUUGCUGAAAGGGAAACGCUUGAAGUCAGUCGUCUCGGCCAGGACUCAGCCUCACGGUGUACUUCCUGUGUCGAGGGGCCAGCAUCAGUUUUGGGCGUCGAAGAAGGGCGCGAGGAAGGUGGCACCCUCGGGUGUGUUAUAGCCUCACGUCGGACGCGGCGCCCGGGACUGAGGACCGCAUUUAUUAGGAUGCUGGCGUAAUGGCUUUAAGCGACCCGUCUUGAAACACGG